UGGGGAAUAUUGGACAAUGGGCGCAAGCCUGAUCCAGCAAUACCGCGUGUGUGAAGAAGGCCUGAGGGUUGUAAAGCACUUUCAAUAGGGAGGAAUACCUGAACGUUAAUAGCGCUCAGACUGACAUUACCUAUAGAAGAAGCACCGGCUAACUCCGUGCCAGCAGCCGCGGUAAUACGGAGGGUGCGAGCGUUAAUCGGAAUUACUGGGCGUAAAGCGUGCGUAGGCGGCGCGUUAAGUCAGAUGUGAAAGCCCCGGGCUUAACCUGGGAACGGCAUUUGAAACUGGCGCGCUAGAGUUGAGUAGAGGGGAGCGGAAUUUCCGGUGUAGCGGUGAAAUGCGUAGAUAUCGGAAGGAACACCAGUGGCGAAGGCGGCUCCCUGGACUCAAACUGACGCUG
rnacentral:rRNA from 1 species